rnacentral:lncRNA from 1 species
GGGGAGGGUGGCGUCUGAGCUCCUAGGGCGCUGGCCCGGCCCAGAGGGGACAGGAAGCCGGGACACCGGGGAUUGUCUCUAGCAGCCGCAGCCCAGCCUCAGCCCGGGAGGAAGUUCUGCCGGGCGCUCUCGGCUGGUGCCUCCCUCGCUGUAUUGUUGAACAGGAAACCGGGCUGCGCGGGAGCUGGGCGGUGGAGGAGGGAGCGCCGGCCGCCGAAAGCACGCGUGCCUGCCGGGACAAGUGGAGGCGAAGCCGGUGAUCGGACGCCCCAAGGUGCCAGGGCCGGGCCGGGCCGGGUGGGGGUUGCUGAGCCGGGGUUGGGGGAGCGCGGUGCGGCAGGUGGCGGGUCCUCACCCGGGAGCGCCGCGCGCGCCUGCUCCCCUUUCACCGGGCGCUGGGGAGGGAGCCGCGCGGGCCCGGGAGCAGGGCCGCGCGGGGCGGAUGUCCCCCGCGCGGAGCGGAGAUCCGAAGGGCUGCCCUCCGUCCGGGGACAGGCGGGGCCCGAGUCCAGGCCCCGGCGCCGCUGUGGCUCGCGUCGCCCGGGCAGUGCACGAAAAGCACCUCCUGACGACGGGUCAGUCCUGAAGUUCCAGGGAUCCUACCGGCUCCUCUGGCUCCCCCAGAGUUGGGGAAGGAGACGAGACCCGGGUCCCCUCCCCACCCAGCCCGAGCCCCUGCGCUCCGGUGGGGAUCUCUGCCGUGGGAACUCCAGGCCCCGCCGAGCUGCGCCCGGAAAGGGCCCAGGGAGGGCGGAGGUGGGUCCGAAGCGAGUGGUGCGUUCAGUCGGGCUGGAAAGGGCUUGUAGUGGUGAUUCGGGGUGCAUACGGCUUCGGUUGUAACCCUGGGCGAGACAACGAACCAGGGUCGAGCUGUCCCAGAGCAGCGCGCCCGCGGGACGCAGAGGCUCGAGGACAACAAAUCCCACGGCGGGAGGCUCAGGGGUGGGACCCUACCCACCUUGGGCUCCGCUGACGACCCCGCAGGGCCCCUUCAGUCGCAGCCCCUACAGCUCCCUCCCUCCCUUCGCCUUCUCUUGCUGUGCGUCCCACUCCCGGUGUACCCCACCCGCCCAGACACACUCAUUCAGGCUCCUCCUGGCCCCUCCGAGAUACGGCUGCGUUGGGGAUUGGGGGCAGCCCUCCUGAGCAUCCCUCUCCUUCUUUGCUCCCCUUGCCAGCUCCUGAUCCCGGAGGUCUCUCCUGCUUAGCCCUUGGAAGCCCCGCCCUUCGAAAGAGAUGGCAGGGGCCUGAUCUGCAUCCAUCCGCGGACUCCGCCGGUCCUGCCCAUGGGCCCGGAGAGACCUGCCCUGCCAACGUGAGUGAGAGGCGGGGGUCCAGGGGAAGGUGACGGGAAGAGGUGUCCUCCCUGGGGGUUGUUGGCUUAGCUACAGGCAGUUCACUGUAACUUCAGGGCCCAAGAGUGCAACCCUUUCCCCAACAAGGGAAGCUGGAGAAAGUAGUG